rnacentral:lncRNA from 1 species
ACCACCCUGAUCCACCUCUGCCUCCACUUCCUCAAAUGGUUGUACACCUAGGUGCCAGUCACCUCAUUGCCUGAGAAUUCAUCUAAGGAAUGAAUCAUCAUAGCACACUAGUCCAAUGACUCAAAUUCAAAUGAAAUAGAAUGAAUGAAUCAUAAUAGCACACUUGUCCAAUGACUCAAGUACAAAUGAAAUAGAAAGAAUAAAUCAUCAUAGCACACUUGUCCAAUGUCUGAAGGUAAGAAAGAAAUAGAAU